AGAGUUUGAUCCUGGCUCAGGAUGAACGCUAGCUACAGGCUUAACACAUGCAAGUCGAGGGGAAACGACAUCGAAAGCUUGCUUUUGAUGGGCGUCGACCGGCGUACGGGUGAGUAACGCGUAUCCAACCUGCCCACCACUUGGGGAUAACCUUGCGAAAGUAAGACUAAUACCCAAUGAUAUCUCUAGAAGACAUCUGAAAGAGAUUAAAGAUUUAUCGGUGAUGGAUGGGGAUGCGUCUGAUUAGCUUGUUGGCGGGGUAACGGCCCACCAAGACUACGAUGGAUAGGGGUUCUGAGAGGAAGGUCCCCCACAUUGGAACUGAGACACGGUCCAAACUCCUACGGGAGGCAGCA
rnacentral:rRNA from 1 species